rnacentral:rRNA from 1 species
UACGUAGGGUCCGAGCGUUGUCCGGAAUCAUUGGGCGUAAAGCGCGCGUAGGCGGCCCGGUAAGCCCGCUGUGAAAGUCCAGGGCUCAACCCUGGAAAGCCGGUGGAUACUGCCGGGCUAGAGUCCGGAAGAGGCGAGUGGAAUUCCUGGUGUAGCGGUGGAAUGCGCAGAUAUCAGGAGGAACACCAAUGGCGAAGGCAGCUCGCUGGGACGGUACUGACGCUGAGGCGCGAAAGCGUGGGGAGCGAACAGG